GCCCUGCUGGCGCAAUGGUAGCGCGUUGGACUUCUAUGAAUCGCACCUUCAAGCGAUCCAAAGGUUGCCGGUUCGAGUCCGGCGUAGGGCU